UAAAUUUAAAAAGCAGGUCACCUUUAAUCUAGGUUGCCGCGUGACCUGCAUCACCGGAAGUUGUUAGCGGUUAGCAGUCUGCAAUUGCAGUUAGUCAUCAGAGCCGUUGCGACGUAUUAUUCCUAUUCAGAGUUUGUUUAAUGUAAAAUUCACCGAGGGCAACGAAUGGGAAUAUGGAGGGCAGAGGAAACUUUUUUAUACGGUACACGUUAGUUACGAUAGUUAAUCGGCUACAAAAGUGCGUCCCAUGGCUCCGCGUCUGGUCUUGACGAAGAGUCCCAUCAGUCACUGGCAGCACAGCGGGGUGACGUCAUCGGCGGGCGAGGGGAACGCGCGCAGGGCCUCCCUGGACGAUUUGGUGUAGCCGUUGUGGAAGAUGAGGGCUUUCUUCACCGCGAAGAAGGACACCGUCCUGUCCCACGCAUCCGAGCCUGUGCCGGACAUGCCCGCGCUGAGUUGCCUCUGCAGGGCCGAGUGCAUCCUCGAUGCUUUGUCUGUGCACUUCCUCUCCAUCAGCAUCACCUUGCACAGACUGAGGAUGCGGAUGGGGGUGGACAAAUUGGACAAGUAUAUCUCGUGAAAUAUUCCAUGACAAUGCUCCAUAUAACAUUCCAAUUCUACUUGAACUAGGAAAUUCAAUUGGUUGAUCAUAUAUCAAACGCCUAAAUGUGUCCUUCAGCUCCUUGUCGGAACAAGUUGUCCAAAAACUACUGAAACACUGAAAAUUUGGUGUUUAAAAGUUCAGUCGAGGUCAAAUUACGUUCACUGGCAAAGUUUACAGUGCAUUUUACAUUCAUCCAAAUAUUUCACCCAAAAGCCCAGUCAUCACAAUUUGAGGCCUCCUGCUUCGUCUCUUAAAACUUGUGACAACAUGAACUUGAUUGUCAUGCGAAAAGCAUUGUGCCGGUUGGCUGUUAUUUCGCAACUUCUGUCCUUUUAGCCAUCUGGUUGGAGCAAUAUCCAAAACAGGAAGAAGUGACCCCUAAAACUGUAAAACAUGAAAUAGACCCUUUUUUUUUUUACUCAUCUGCCUCAGUUUGAGCUGGGAAAAGCCCCUGCUUUCUUCCUCAUCCAUUCCAAACCAUCACAAUCAGUCAGGGAUGGGCCAGGCAUCUGAUGCUGCUUAUUUGAUCUAUUUAUUUCAUUUGCGAGUCAAAC